UCCGGUUCCUCACCGGCAGUCUUCCUAGAGUCCCCAACUUAAUGCUGGCAACUAGGAACAAGGGUUGCGCUCGUUACGGGACUUAACCCAACAUCUCACAACACGAGCUGACGACAGCCAUGCAGCACCUGUCUCUGCGCUCCUUUCGGCACUCCCAACUCUCAUCGGGAUUCGCAGGAUGUCAAGGGUAGGUAAGGUUCUUCGCGUUGCAUCGAAUUAAACCACAUGCUCCACCGCUUGUGCGGGCCCCCGUCAAUUCAUUUGAGUUUCAACCUUGCGGCCGUACUUCCCAGGUGGAAGACUUAUCGCGUUAGCUUCGAUACUGACAGGUUCCCCUGCCAACAUCCAGUCCUCAUCGUUUACAGCGUGGACUAC
rnacentral:misc_RNA from 1 species